CUGCUGUGCUCUAUUAUAGCAUCACUUCUACCUCCAACACUUUAUUUUCUGUGCAUUUUUUGCUAUCAUAUUGGUCUGUAUCACUGUAUUCUGAGUUCCUGGAAAAGUGGUAGAAGAACGUCAACUCUAUGCCAAGAAUGUGGUACAAAUGUAACGUGUUUCCUGAAUGGACGAAUGAAUGGAUGAGAGGAGGAGAUGGCUGCAAAGAAAUGAAAUUCAGCCUUCUUCAAUAUUUUAUCUUUAGCCUCAGAAUUGAGUCCUGUGAUGACGUUAGAGAAAAUUCUGAAAUUUCUUGGGCUUUGGAAAUGGCUUUGACUCCAUAAAGCUGGCCUAUAAGAUCAGGAAGAGCAAAGAUUACCAGAACUAUAGAGGGAAAAUAUUUCAGGACAAGAACUAGCCGUCUUCUCCCUUAUUCCCAAUUUAUGAGUUCAAGUCCUACCUGACACAGGUAUCAGUAAACUUUAAGAACCUGGAAGGUUGUAUAGUAUAAUGCUUAAACAUGCAGAUUCUGGAUCUGUGUCCUCACUGUGUGGCUUACUAACCAUCCAUCCUUAUGUGACCUUGUGCAAAUUACAUAAUCUCUCUAGGUUUCAGUUUCCUUAUAAAUAAAACGGGGAUUAUUAUGAUUAUAAUAGUACCUCCCAGGAUUAUUAGGAAUGUUAAAUGAGCUAAUACAAAGAAAGAACGUAGAACAGUGAUUGGAACAUAGUACUAAAUUGUCACCUAUAAUAUAACACUGCGUAAAUAACAUAGCUCAGUAAAUUUAGCUGUUACUGACUUAUGCUAGCUGAGAAAAGUAGAUUCACAAGGCUUUGAAUGAUGUGGAAGCCUUCUCUUAUUUCUCAAGGCUAUAGUCUACACUGAUGUAGGCUGAAGCCUUGAUUACAGUGGCAUAUUGGGAAUUGCUAGAAAAUUAAGAGGCUGUUGGUAAGAGUCCCUAACCAAUUGGAGGGGCACCCAUACCUUUCCUUACUUAGUCCAUACUUAGUCGACUCUUACAGCGUGCAAACUCUGCCAUCAUUUAUUUAACCAUUCUUUUAUUUACGGGUACAUGAGUCGUUUCCAGUUUUUUAAAAGAAUGCUGCAGUGAAAAUCUUCAGCUGUCAUUUUUCACAUUACUGUGGGAGAAUGUGGUGGGAGGCGCCAUGGGGGUGAGUGACCCCAUGUGUGACCAGGCUUUGUGAGCUUUUGCCUCUGUCUUUCCCAAUGUUCCUCCUACAGUGGCUGCACCUGGGUGAUGAUGGCUGCGUGAGUGCCCGCCAUGGCCCACCGGAAGUGUGAGAGUGCGGGGAGCAGCAUGUUUGACCACAAGGUGAGGCCGGGCCCUGUCUCCCACGGCCAGGAGCGAGGACGUGGAGCUGCCCUAGGAAGGCUCUGUGGCCAAGGGCCAGGAGCUGUCUGCCCUGUGGCCAGAGAUCCCCAUGCCUGAGGAGCAGGAGUUCCACAACCACAGCCCCGAUGGGGACUCCAGCUCCGACUACGUGAACAAUACCUUCUAGGAGGAGGACUACAACAAGAGCCUGCCCGAGAAGGAGGAGGGCAUCACCUAUAUCCGCUACUGCCCCAAGGAUGACAGCUACCUGGAGGGCAUGGACUGCAAUGGGGAGGAGUACCUGGCCCAUGGCGCACACCCCAUGGACACCGAGGAGUGCCAGGAGGCGGUGGAGGAAUGGGCGGACUCGGCGGGCCUGCACCCUCACAGCCACAGGGCUGAGGGAAGCCAGAACUACCCAGACGGCCACCUGCCCAUCCCAGAGGAUGAGCCCUCAGUCCUGGAGGCCCAUGACCAGGAAGAAGAUGGACACUACUGUCACAGCAAAGAGGGCUAGGAGGACUGCUACCCCAUGGAGGCCAAUGGAAACACCAGUGCCUCCCCCUACCACCUGAGGUGUGGGGAUGGGGACCUGGAGGACCAGGAGGAGGACAUUAACCAGAUCAUGAGCAUGAGCAUGACCAGCAUCACUAGUGCUAGUGAGGCCAGCAUGGGACUGAGCCGGGACCUCGGAAUUCUGCAGAGGCCUGCCUGCCCAGCAAGGCCAGCUGCAGCCCCAGCAGGCAUGAAACGAGGCCCAAGUCACUGAACCUCCCUCCCAAGGCCAAGCACUGUGGAGACCCCCAGAGAGGCUUCAAGCCCAAGAUCAGGACCCCAGAGGAGAGGCCACAAGCAGUGUUCCUCCUACAGCGGCUGCCCCUGGGUGAUGAUGGCUGCGUGAGUGCCCGCCAUGGCCCAUCAGAAGUAUGGGAGCACGGGGAGCGGCAUGUUGGACCACAGGGCGAGUCUGGGCCCUGUCUCCCACGGCCAGGAGUGAGGACUUGGAGCUGCCCUAGGAGGGCUAGGUGCCUGAGGGCCUGGAGCUGUCUGCCCUGUGGCCAGAGAUCCCCAUGCCUGAGGAGCAGGAGUUCCACAACCACAGCCCCGAUGGGGACUCCAGCCCCGACUACGUGAACAACAGCUCCUAGGAGGAGGACUACAACAAGAGCCUGCCCGAGAAGGAGGAGGGCAUCACCUAUAUCCGCUACUGCCCUGAGGAUGACAGCUACCUGGAGGGCAUGGACUGCAAUGGGGAGGAGUACCUGGCCCAUGGCACACACCCCAUGGACACCGAUGAGUGCCAGGAGGCGGUGGAGGAAUGCGCGGACUCGGCAGGCCUGCACCCUCACAGCCACAGGGCUGAGGGAAGCCAGAACUACCCAGACGGCCACCUGCCCAUCCUGGAGGAUGAGCCCUCAGUCCUGGAGGCCCGUGACCAGGAAGAAGAUGGCCACUACUGUCCCAGCAAAGAAGGCUACCAGGACUGCUACCCCAUGGAGGCCAAUGGGAACACCUGAGGUGUGGGGAUGGGGACCUGGAGGACCAGGAGGAGGACAUCAACCAGAUUGUGGCUGAGAUCAAGAUGAGCCUGAAUAUGGGCCUGAGCUGGGGCCUGGAACUCUGCAGAGGCCUGCCUGCCCAGCAAGGCCCCAGCAGGUACGAGACGAGGCCCAAGUCACUGAACCUCCCUCCGGAGGCAAAGCACUGUGGACACUCCCAGAGAGGCUUCAAGCCCAAGACCAGGACCCCAGAGGAGAGGCUGAAGUGGCCCCAUGAGCAGGUCUUCCAGCUCCAUGUCAUCUAACCCACUGAACAAACGUGGACGUAUCGCCUGCAGAGGCCAUCUAACAACAUUUCCAAAAGUCAUCUUCAGAAGACAUGUAUGUUCUAUCAUUUCUCUUAAACAAGUGAGAAUUUGCAAGAUGUGUGUUUUUCUAACUCUAUCAUACGUCGGCAACCUCUACAUCUAGAAGGACUAGAUGUGACAAAUGUUUUCUAUUAAAAGGUUGGGGUGCAGUUGAGAGCAGCUUUUUCAUAUUAUAUACACAGGGCUUCC